ensembl:lncRNA novel transcript, antisense to PLXNC1
AUUUAGAACUUCUUCAGGAAGCAAGGACCUACACAAAAGGGCUCUGAUGUUUCAAACCACUUCUUCCCUGAUAAGCCUGGAAGUAAAGCCACUGAAGACAAAAUAAUGCAUUCUAUGAGGGACGACUAAGCUCUUCAACAAAAAUUCCAGAAGCAAAUUUGUAUAUGCUCACACUUGUGUGCCCAUGUUCACAAAGAGAGGCAUGAUAUGAACCAUCUCUGUAGGCUCCUGUUCGGGGUGGAGGGGGAGGCAUCAGUGUGCGAAGGUCCCAGCACCACAGUGGGCAGACUCUCUGGCCAAGGCUGCUAACCUAUGCCUAGACGUAAUAUUUAAAGACAACAACAACAAACGCCAUCUUUGAAGGACCGUGCUUCCUUCGAAGAAUCAGGAUGCCCAUGAGA